GAUGAACGCUGGCGGUAUGCCUAACACAUGCAAGUCGUACGAGGGUUUUUAACUCUAGUGGCGGACGGGUGAGUAACACGUGAGAAUUUGCCUUUAGGAGGGGGAUAACAAUCGGAAACGAAUGCUAAUACCCCCAUAUGCUUUUGAGUGAAAUGGAUUUAUCCGCCUAAAGAGAAGCUCGCGGCUGAUUAGCUUGUUGGUAAGGUAAGAGCUUACCAAGGCGACGAUCAGUAUCUGGUUUGAGAGGACGAUCAGACACACUGGAACUGAGACACGGUCCAGACUCCUACGGGAGGCAGCAGUGGGGAAUUUUCCGCAAUGGGCGAAAGCCUGACGGAGCAAUACCGCGUGAGGGAAGAAUGCCUAUGGGUUGUAAACCUCUUUUUUUCAGGGUAGGAUAAAAUGACGUGUACCUGAAGAUAAGCAUCGGCUAACUCCCGUG
rnacentral:rRNA from 1 species